CCUGCCCACUGAAGUUUUUAAAGGGCCGCAGUAUUUUGACUGUGCAAAGGUAGCAUAAUCAUUAGUCUUUUAAUUGAAGGCUGGUAUGAAUGGUUGGAUGAGGUGAAUUCUGUUUUAUGUUAAUUUUAAUUGAAUUUAGAUUUUAAGUAAAAAGACUUAAAUAUGAUUAAGGGACGAGAAGACCCUAUAGAGUUUAAUAAAUGAACCAAAUAAUUGAGUUAAUUAAGAAUUUUUAAUUAUUGUUAAAUUUAUUUGAUUGGGGUGAUUAAAAGAUAAGUUGAACUCUUUUUUAAGUUUAAUAAUAUAAUUAGUUAUAUGAUCCAUAAUUAAUGAUUAGAAGAUUAAAUUACCUUAGGGAUAACAGCAUAAUUUUUUUUGAGAGUUCAUAUCGAAAGAAAAGAUUGUGACCUCGAUGUUGGAUUAAGAUAAGUUUUAGGCGUAGGUGUUUAUAAACUAGGUCUGUUCGACCUUUAAAAUCUUACAUGAUCUGA
rnacentral:rRNA from 1 species